rnacentral:rRNA from 1 species
AUUGAACGCUAGCGGGAUGCCUAACACAUGCAAGUCGAACGGAGUGGCGAACGGGUGAGUAAUGUAUCGGAACGUGCCUAGUAGCGGGGGAUAACUACGCGAAACGGUCGCUAAUACCGCAUACUAUCGGAGCAGCCGAAGUCGGAUUAGCUAGUUGGUGGGGUAACGGCAUACCAAGGCGACGAUCCGGAACUGGUUUGAGAGGACGACCAGCCACAUUGGGACUGAGACACGGCCCAGACUCCUACGGGAGGCAGCAGUGGGGAAUUUUGGACAAUGGGGGAAACCCUGAUCCAGCCAUCCCGCGUGUGCGAUGAAGGCCUUCGGGUUGUAAAGCACUUUAGGCUGGAAAGCGGUACCUGCAGAAUAAGCACCGGCUAACUUCGUGCCAGCAGCCGCGGUAAUAC